GAUGAACGCUGGCGGCGUGCCUAAUACAUGCAAGUCGAGCGAACAGACGAGGAGCUUGCUCCUCUGACGUUAGCGGCGGACGGGUGAGUAACACGUGGAUAACCUACCUAUAAGACUGGGAUAACUUCGGGAAACCGGAGCUAAUACCGGAUAAUAUAUUGAACCGCAUGGUUCAAUAGUGAAAGACGGUUUUGCUGUCACUUAUAGAUGGAUCCGCGCCGCAUUAGCUAGUUGGAAAGGUAACGGCUUACCAAGGCAACGAUGCGUAGCCGACCUGAGAGGGUGAUCGGCCACACUGGAACUCAGACACGGUCCAGACUCCUACGGGAGGCAGCAGUAGGGAAUCUUCCGCAAUGGGCGAAAGCCUGACGGAGCAACGCCGCGUGAGUGAUGAAGGUCUUCGGAUCGUAAAACUCUGUUAUUAGGGAAGAACAAAUGUGUAAGUAACUAUGCACGUCUUGACGGUACCUAAUCAGAAAGCCACGGCUAACUACGUG
rnacentral:rRNA from 1 species